CCGCCCUGUGUGGGCCCCACACCGCUGGUAACCUUUUGCGUCGCCCAGCUUCAGGAUCAGGUCGGUUCUAUUCCCCGACGCCGCUCCGCUCCUCCCGUCGCCGUCGCCUGUCGCUCUGUGCUCCCGUCUCCGCCGUCCCCAGGAGAGUACCUGCCGACGGCGCCGGAUCCUGAGUCGUCGGCAGAUGCGGACGGCUGCGCUGGUUUUGGUCUGGUCCACCGUCAGCCUCCUCGUCUAGCUCCCACUCGAGGUGUUGAAGACCGGGCGGUGAUUCGGUUUGGGAUGAAGCGAUUCGGGAGGAAGAAGGGCGGUGGGGACUGGCUAGUGGCAGAUCUGGGCCAAAUCGAUCGGCAAGUGUUGGUGCGGCUGUGGCAGAUUUAGGCCACAAGAAUUUAUGGGUACAACAUCCCUUGCCCUGCUCGUGCGUGAGGAUGCAGAUGCAUACAGUAAUCAGGUCCGCAACUUCCGCAUCGCGAUUUAAACCCAGAUGAAUGAAUGCUAAAGGAUCACGGAAGGCAGGCAGGUGGCAGGGUUCUCAGACAUCCAUGGGGACAUCACUGAUGGCCGCCGGCAGACCAUGAGGUGGCAGAUACCAGCGGCCGGCAUCCCGGCAGCAUCUCAUUCGGACUCACGACCAAUCCGCAAGCAUCAGCAUCAUUCUUUCAGAAAUGCCGUUCCUGAUGUGGUCAGUUGGUCUCUCUCUGCAUGGUGGUGGGAUCAAUCCUCCUGCGAUGCCCAUCUUUUACCAAAAAGCUGGUAGUGAUGAGCAUAUGUGCAACAAUGUGUAGUGAUCCAGGAUCAAGCUCCCAGUAGAGAGGAGAAAGUGUGGUAGCCUCUUCUUUCAGGUGCAUUGUCCGUUUGUUCUUUCUUCUAUUGUCGACUAGCAUCGUAUAUUAUGUGAAACUCCACCGGUGCAUGUGUUCGGAUGGUGAGUUUUUAAUUUGGCUUAUUAAUUCCUGAUUUCAACUUCUGUCAUUGGUUGUAGAUAACCGUCAUCAUCCUUUUGCUAGUGUUAUGAUCUCUCGACAACGACCAUGGCCAGAUAUCUGCGAACACUAGAUGCUCAUGGCGCUCGCUCCUUGGAAGCUCAGCCUCAGGAAAGAUAGGUGAGCUAACUCCCAUCUCUUAGUGAUUGGUCACUUUAUUAUUUGUUGAUCGAUUUACACUUUCAGUAGGAAAAAUGUAUAUUAAUAGGAUUUAUUGUCCUUAUGUGUUGGCUAGGGAAGGAGGGUUUCUUUAGCUAGGACUGUCACUGUAUUCUAGUAAAAAUCUCUUUCAGAAUUCGUUAUUAUGUGCGAUAUGGAGAAAGAAUGUGCAGAAAUGAUGCACUCCUUUGCACUGAUCAUAGCUGUUUACUUAGUUAGUGUGUUCAGUCCUUUGCUGCUGUGUAGUAAAUUUCAUUUCUUUUUUGUUUUAUCUGAGCAAAAUAUCUGACCAGCAGUCUCUCUUCUUCCUACCUACUACAAAUCCAUCCAUUCAUCUCCAGGAUCAGGUUGCUUUUCAGAACACCUUUCUCUUUGGUUCCUGUUUAUGUCAGUUUACUAAUCUAUUCCUCCCAAUUUAUUCUGCUUUAAUGGCAUAAUGGCACUGAAACUAUCACUUCCUGUUUAGGUGCAAGUGCUUUGACAGAUGAAGUAAAUGUAUGUAUUAAGUUCCUUUUAUCAGUCUUGUAGCAGGGGUUAAUAAUUUUUAUCCUGAUGUAUGAUCAGGUCUGUUGAUUGUUGAAGGUGAUAUUAAACUGAACUCUGCUCUCUCCACUAUGAUAGCUUGCUAGCUCUGCUCUUAGAACCUGAUCUCAGUUUAGUCCAGUGGUCGCUCAAGUUCUAAUACUUGAACAUGGGUAUGCAUUCUGUAAAUUCUAAAGCACAUCAAAAUUGAUAUAAAUUCUUAUCAGGUUUCAAUAUAGUUAUAUAAAAUCAGCUCCACAUUUCUACUGCUUGGAUUUUUUUCUCUUUCUGAGCUAUCCUUUAUAUGAAUUCUGUAAGAUUGUGUUCAAGGAUCUUAUUUACAGGUGGGUGUUUUGAUCAAGUUGUGAUGAAGAUCUUUUGCCUCAGAAGAAACUAAGGUGGCAGAUGAUGCCAGAAGAUCAUAACUGCACUUGCCACAAAUGUAAAAGACACUCGGAUGCAGCUAUGCAUAUUUGUGGAGUGGAGAGGUGCUGAACUUUUACUUUUAGUCAAAGCUAUGUAGUCAGUCCCCCCUGAUGAUAUAUAGUCAAAAUUUCAAGUGCAAAUGUCCAGUAUUGGACUAUAAAAGUAGUUUAAUCUUCAUAAUGUGUAGAAACGAUACUUAAGAACCUACUCCGAAGACUUGUCAGUUGUACAAAUGUUAAAGCUGUUUUGGAGCACGUGUUUAAAAUCUUAUUAUUUGUAUUUUGGUGACUCUGUUUUUGUUAAAAAUGAAGAACUUUGCUA